rnacentral:rRNA from 1 species
UACGGAGGGAGCUAGCGUUGCUCGGAAUCACUGGGCGUAAAGCGCACGUAGGCGGAUUGUUAAGUCGGGGGUGAAAUCCUGGAGCUCAACUCCAGAACUGCCUUCGAUACUGGCGAUCUUGAGUCCGGGAGAGGUGAGUGGAACUCCGAGUGUAGAGGUGAAAUUCGUAGAUAUUCGGAAGAACACCAGUGGCGAAGGCGGCUCACUGGCCCGGUACUGACGCUGAGGUGCGAAAGCGUGGGGAGCAAACAGG